rnacentral:misc_RNA from 1 species
UGAAUAACUAUGUAUUUAAUAUAAAUAUAAGUUAUAUUUAUUUUUAACAUACACAAAAUAGAAUUUAAAAAAAAUACAUGAAAAAAAAGCACUAAAAUAAUCUAAAUUGAAUCUGGGCCCAUAACCAUUAGCCCAUUUUAAUAAUACACAGGCACAGCACAUAAUACACAGCCACUUUUUUAUCUUCUCUAUAACAGAGACAGUCAACAGCCUGGUUCUUCUUCUUCUUUCGCUGGUUCUCCCGACGUGGUCACAGCAACUUUUUUUUUUUCCCCCGUGGCUUUAGCCGCUAGGCUGCUACUGCUGCUGCUUCAUCUACUUCUUCUUUUUUCACCGGCUCUCCCAAUGUAGUCAUGGCUUUAGCGGCUAGGCUUGUUCAACUUCAUAGAUGUGUGUCGAAAACAUAUUCCAUGUCAUGUCGAGGCAAGUCCAAGUAUCAGAGGGUAUAACUCUCUUGUAUGUGAUUUGGCUUUUCAGUUGUAGAUAAUGUAGUUUUGACACUUUGAUGAGGACAGUCUUGUCAAGUAUUUUGAUCACAGCUUGAAAUUGAAGAGAAAAUUUGAAAGUUGGUUGAACUAGAAUUAUAUAAAUAAUGGUCAUAUCAAAUUUUGAUUACUUUGUUAUUUUUUUCCCUACUCACAAAAUUCUUUCAGGGAGCUUUCAUUUAGUAAAAUGGAUGAUAGAUGAUUAAUCAAGUUGUGAUUAUCGCUUAGUGUCACGAGAUAAAUAAAUGCUAUAGUUGAAUAUCCAGGUGUGAUUUAUGUAUUAUAGGAGAGACACUGCAUGCUUUUUUUUUUUUUUUUU